UUUACUUUGAAAAAAAUAAUUUAUUUAUUUUUUACAAAUUUUUAUAUUUUUUAUUUUGAAUUUUUACAGACA
rnacentral:misc_RNA from 1 species